rnacentral:sRNA from 1 species
AAUAAAAAAAAAAAAGAAUAUGUAUUUUCCCUAGCAAGUGCAAGACCCUGAGUUCCAUUUCGAACACCGCAUCCAAAGUAAAAACUUCCAGAGCCUGUGAUUGAAAUUCUUUUGAAUAUGAAGAUAAAUUUACCAUCUAGCUCAGGCUGAGCUGGAAUUUGUUACAUAGACUAACCUGGAAUCUACCUCAUGAAAUCCUCCUGUCUCAGUGUCUCAAGUGUUAUGAUUAUAGGCAUAAUACUUGGCUGUAGCAUCUUCACAGUAUUGAGUCUAUUAGUAUACACACAUUAUUCUUUUUGCCUUUUUUACCAAUGUUCCAGAGAUUUCAGUGCAGUAUUGUACACAGUUUCAUUUGCCUCAUUCGUAGGUAUUUGAACCUUUUAAUGAUACCACAAUAAAAUUUCUCAGUUUCUGUUUUCUAACUAUAGAAAUAUAUAGAAAUAUAUAUAUAUUUCAAGUACUUUUUUUCUGGUCCUGGGGAAGGAGCAGACAGUAGUAGACAAAAAAUUAAGUUACAUUGGUAGAGCAAGCUCACCAUAACUUAUGAAAGCAGAAGAAAUAUUGAUUUAAACUGAAAAAAAAAUAAAAUAAAGCAGUAAAGUUUCAGCUUUCUGUACCUUGGAGCCUUCGGUUUUCUCGCAGAUGAGAAACUGAAAGGAGGGAAGAGUAAGGUUGACUGUGUGAUCAGCCUUAGGGCAUCUGAGCUUGCUCCAUUAUCAUGUUAAUGGUCAGUCCUUCUCCACAUUUCAGAUGGUGAGACCCCCAAGAAGUAGGAAAUGGCAAAUGACUAAGAAACAAUCAUGGGAAUUGUUUUAUGCUUUAGAAAGUUCUACCCACUGGUUGUUUAGAGAUGGUUUUUGUUUGCUUGUUCAGCCAUGAAGAUUUUGGGAACAUAAUUGGAGAACUGCUGGGCUCUGCCUAUUAUUCAGCUCCUGCAAUAGAAAAGCAACUUAAAAAUACAACACUUUAAAACUCUAUAAAUAAUGUCGGGAAUUAAAAUACUAAUAAGGCUUAAAUAUAGAAAAUAUAACAUCUAAAGUACAGAAAUGUUAUUCUUUAGGGUUCUUUAGUAUGCAAAAACCAAUUUAUAUGUAGCACAAACAUAUUCUUCUCCAAGAUUGUUACUUAUUGUUUCAAAUAAAUGUGAACUAUAUUACAGACAUCUGUCUUACUUGUUACUGCCUUCUUCCUAAUUUGAGAUGCUUGCCUAAUUUCUGCUAUUUUCAAAAUAAAGUAGAAAAGACAGAUAAGCUUCUAGUAAGCAAAAAAAUCGAUUAAAUCUUACUUGCAUUUAUGCAAAUAGAACUUGAAAGAAAAUGGAAAUAAUCAGUGUCGUUAAACUGGUCAAUUAAUACCACUUUCAAUUAAUGCUAUUGUCGAAGAACUUCCGGUUUCAGGUGGGGUACCACAUCACACCUCCACACAACAGUGGGCUUUCACUGCUGAUGGUCUAUGAACCGUUUAAAACCAGAGAUUCCUCUACAUGGACCCCUGAUUACGAAAUCAACUCUGAAAGACCUCAGCACCAUAAGGCUAAGGCAAGAGGUGAUACACCAAGUGGAAGAAAAUGUGCAAGAAUAAUGCAUCCUACGCUGGAAUGGAUGAGCAGACAGGCAAACGGUAUAUCUAAUCGUACACUGAGAUGAAUGAAGGAACAAACAAGCAAACUAAAUCUAAAUGCUGGUGUAAAUUCUAUGAUACUCUGUUAUGGGCAUGGUGUGGCUGACAGGUUACUUAUCUUGAAGUAUACCCUUCUUGCCACCAGAGGAACAGUACAAAUGUAAGGUUCCCACAUGUCAUCGAGCACACCCAGGAAGAUACUUGUCUAAAUGAUCACUCUAUCUAGCUGAACACUGCUUAGAGUGCAUUUCAGAAUAUAUUAUUUUUGAAGGAAGGCAACUACUACUGUUUAUUUAAAACAAAGUCAUCGUUUACAUUUCUGAAAGUGGAAGAAAUAUUUUUUGCAAGCCAUUAGCAAUUACUAUCUGUCAAAGCAGCAUUGUCCUCGUCAAAUUCCAUAUGCCAUUUCUUUCUUUCCCAUUUCUUAAAACAUUUCCAAAUGUUUCAGAGGAGUGCUCAGUAAUAGAGGCUUUCUUCCCAGGCUAUUAUUAACAUUUAUGUAUUUUCUUUUAUGUCCACAUAGCUGUGUGACUCAGACAUAUAGGGCAAAUAUUAUAGAAACCGUGACUUGAAAGUUCGGCUUGUAAAAGAGGAUGGGAAAUUGAUAUCCCUCCUCUAUUUGUUUAAUAUUUCACUUUUUAUUUAUCCUACUCUCAUAUAUUCCAACCACAUCCUUCCAUCCCUCCUGUCCUCUCAGUCACCCACCUCUCUUUUCCUCAAUUCCUCUUCUCCUCAAUUUCCCUUCAGAAAAGGGCGGGCCUCUCAGGGACAUCAACCACACUUGGCAUAUCAUGUUGCAAGAACACAGGGCGACUUAACUCAUAUUAAGAGUAGAAGAGGCAAUCCAGUAGGAGUCCCACAAGAAUACCAAACUGUACAACUAUUUCAUGUAUACAGAGAACCUCGGUUACAUGAAGAUAGGCAUCUCCCUGAUUGACAGUUCAGUCUCUGUGAGCCCCCAUGAGCCCUGGUUUGUUGAUUCUGUGAGGCAUUUUCUUGUAUCUUGGAUCCCUCUGGCUCCUACCAUCCUGCCUUUUUUAUUUCAUCAGGAUUCCCUGAAUUCUGCCUAGUGUUUGGGUGCAGGUCUCUAUAUCUACUCUCAUCGGGAGCUUGGUGAAGCCUCUCUGAUAAUGGUCCAUGAUGCCAUGAAAAGGAACUCCUGUUACACUGCUUGCAGGGUCAGGAACCAGAGUCCACAUAACCCUGAGACAGAGGAUAGAACAAACAUGGCUGGCAAAAUUGAUUGAUUAAUUAAUUAAUUAAUUUUAAAAAGGCAACAAAAUGAUUCCUAUUAGUGACCUGCUAUACUUGUAGACCAGAACCUAGUAUAUUAUUUCACCUCUAUAUACAAGUUUAACUCACCUGCAUCAUUCACAGGAACCAAAUUUCCAUGCAGAAGACCUAGAUGCUCAAAAAUACCAUUUUUUAAAAAUAAAACAGCACAAAUGUACCAUUUGGUAAAUUAUUUUAAUUUCAAGGUGAGUACUAAUAGUACAGUAUAGUAGUGGAUGAAUUUUUUUCCUGUUUAAUUGUUUGGAUUAUAUGGAAAUGCUAUAAAGACAAAUUGUAAAGGCGGAGUGGAUUUUAAAGGUUAUGCCAGUGGAUCACAAAAUAUGACCUUCAGCACAGAACAGAAUGUUAAUUGAUCUUCUAGGAAUGAUCCUCUUCAAGGUUGUUGGUUUAAUUAAACAGUAGUGGUGUUUAGUCCACUUCAGAUAAAACUUUGUUUUUAAUUAAAUAGGCAACUGUAUUUUGCAAACAGAGGUUCAGUCUUCGUUGAGUGGCUGUUUCGGUAUAAGCACAAAACAUGGGUUUUUGUCCUAUGCUUCAAAGACAAGAGUAUUUCUCUAAUUCUGCCCUCCAUUGUCUUUUAUAUGGUUUGUGUGGAAUUUUAACUAACUCCAGCGAGGUUCCGUCAUCAUAAAACUGCAAAUAAAAUCCUAUAAUGUUUUGAAGUGA